UACAAUGGCGCAUACAGAGGGCGGCGAACUUGCGAGAGUGAGCGAAUCCCAAAAAGUGCGUCGUAGUCCGGAUUGGAGUCUGCAACUCGACUCCAUGAAGUCGGAAUCGCUAGUAAUCGUAGAUCAGAAUGCUACGGUGAAUACGUUCCCGGGCCUUGUACACACCGCCCGUCACACCAUGGGAGUGGGCUGCAAAAGAAGUGGGUAGUUUAACCUUUCGGGGAGGACGCUCACCACUUUGUGGUUCAUGACUGGGGUGAAGUCGUAACAAGGUAGCCCUAGGGGAACCUGGGGCUGGAUCACCUCCUUAUACGAAGAUA
rnacentral:rRNA from 1 species